rnacentral:tRNA from 1 species
GCCCUCGUAGCUCAGUGGAUAGAGCAGCGGCCUUCUAAUCCGCCGGUCGGGAGUUCGAAUCUCUCCGGGGGCA